AACGAACGCUGGCGGCAGGCCUAACACAUGCAAGUCGAACGCACCGCAAGGUGAGUGGCGCACGGGUGAGUAACACGUGGGAAUGUACCCUUUGGUUCGGAAUAACGUUUGGAAACGAACGCUAAUACCGGAUGAGCCCUGCGGGGGAAAGAUUUAUCGCCAAAGGAGCAGCCCGCGUCUGAUUAGCUAGUUGGUGGGGUAAAGGCCUACCAAGGCGACGAUCAGUAGCUGGUCUGAGAGGAUGAUCAGCCACACUGGGACUGAGACACGGCCCAGACUCCUACGGGAGGCAGCAGUGGGGAAUAUUGGACAAUGGGCGCAAGCCUGAUCCAGCCAUGCCGCGUGAGUGAUGAAGGCCUUCGGGUUGUAAGCUCCUUCGCACGCGACGAUGAUGACGGUAGCGUGAGAAGAAG
rnacentral:rRNA from 1 species